UACGGGAGUGGCAAGCGUUAUCCGGAAUUAUUGGGCGUAAAGAGUAUGUAGGCGGCUAUUUAAGUCAGACGUGUAAGCCCACGGCUCAACCGUGGAAUUGCGUUUGAAACUAUUUAGCUUGAGUUCAGGAGAGGAAGGCGGAAUUCCCAGUGUAGCGGUGAAAUGCAUUGAUAUUGGGAAGAACACCGGUGGCGAAGGCGGCCUUCUGGUCUGAUACUGACGCUGAGAUACGAAAGCCAGGGGAGCGAACGGG
rnacentral:rRNA from 1 species